CUAAAGUUUUAUUGGAGGAUAACUACUCUAAUCUAUUCGGAUCUUUAGAUUUUGGAAUUGCAAUUUAUUCAUUUCUUUUACCUAGAAAGUGCAAAUGUGUGUGCUCGACAAUGACAAAAUCUCUUUAUUUGAUUUUGGCAAGGUUUGAUGAUCGAUCUUUAUAGAAUUGUUUCGGAUUAACAUAUAAUAUACAUGACUGAUUAAAAUAAUAGAAAGAUACGAUUAUAAAUUGUGGAAUUAAUCUUGAUGGAGCCGGUGACAUCUCUGGGAGACAUCAGGACUUUCGCCAGAGAAUUGGUGGUGGAAACAUGACAACAAUGGUGGAAGCAGAGGAGGGAUUGAAUCAAGGAGUUUGUGAUGGAAUGGACUGGGAGUGAGAUUAAGAAACAUAGACCUAACAACAACAACGAAUGGAUCAACAAUGGUGAUGGAUCAUUGACUCUUGGUUUCAUAGAGACGAUGAUGCUUUAUCAUUUUAGUUUGUAAUUUCUACCCAAACGAUUUCUUAAAAAUCUUUAGAAUUAAGGAAAGAUUUGAAAUAAAAAAGAACGCUCUGGAGUUCGCCCUAAAGAAUUAUCUCCCAUGCACAAAAACCAAAGGUUUCAUAAGCCUUGGACGAGAUGAGUUUCUUCCAUUGGCGUUACUACGCUAGCAGCCUACUUUUCUGAUCACCGUUACUUCUAGAGUGAGAUCUCUUGGGUGAGCCUCCUCUUCCGGCGAAGUAACUGUUUUUCGGGCGAGCUUACUCCCUGAAAUGACUACUUUUCUUUUGUCGUUUUUAAGCCAUUCUCGUCCUUAGCCGAAGCCUCCGGUCACUUUCAUCGAACUGAGGUUGAGCCUAACUCAAUGACUCUCUUGGCGUUGUGCAGCUUUUGUUGUCACAUCCGACCCGCGUGUCUCUCGUUGAGGUUUGCUUCUGAAUCCUUGCUCUUAUACCCUCCAUUCACUAAGCUUAGUUGGUCUUAUAAAACAGAGUCAGAGAAAGGCUUAACUAGCUAUGUUCGAUGGAAGGUUGAGCCUUGUAAUCAUAUCCCUUUCAUUUGGAAUUCAGUCAUUGAAUUUGGCGUUAUCUUAGAUGGAGAUUUGAUUCUCUCGAAUCACUUUAAUGAUGAUUCUGGUUUACCUUGUAUCGAGGUCCUUGUUAGACAUGUUCUAACUUUGUGUGUUGGUAAGGGCUUUGCCCAUAUCAUUAGCAUUAUCGUCUAUGUUGUUGUAGAUGGGAAGUGGGAAGUGCAUCCUUUGUUUAAGACUGAGGAUCCUCAUCUUGGCACCCUUUGUCAUUUUUUCUACCCAAAAUUUCCUCUUGAUUGGAGUGGUUUGGAUGAUCAAGCCUUGCUGGUUUUGCAAGGAUCUUCCUCUCGGCUGAUAGUUUCCUCUACCCUUGUUGCAGAACUUGUAACCUUUUGGGUUGCGAUGGAUGCAGUUUCUCAUGAAGCUUUUGGGAUGGUCUCUUUUUAAUCUUUUUUGGUUUCGUUUGUUGAAUGUAUGUUCAAUAGAUCCCUAGGUUACCUCCUUCAUUAAGUGGGUUUGUAACCCCUCCUCUUUUGUGUGAGGAUAAGACUUACGCUUAAUGAAGUUUAGUUUAUAAAAAAAAAAAACAGAUUUGGAAAUCUUUUACAUUCCGUAAACAUAACUAAUUUAUCUUUCUAAUUCAAUUCAAUUAGAUUCUAACCCCCCUCCCCCCAAAUAUUUUUUACCUAGAAAGUGAAAAUAAAUAUUUUAGAAAAAAAAUCAUCCGACCAUUAAGCAAGAUUUGAACGACGCAAACCAAUCUUAGUCGACAAUCUUUUUUUCACCUUAGCGUUAUUUGAUCACUGAGGUGUUCAGAACUUCUUUUACUUUAUUUUGGAUCUAGACCGUUGUUAAUGAUGUCAGCAACCGUUGGAGAAAGAGAUCACAACCGUAGGAUGGAUUACUUAUAUAAUCUGAACCGUUAAUUUUGGUUUUUUUUUUUUUUUUGACACGGUUAUAAUCAGCAGACCCAAAAAAGUGGGUUUGCAUAAGUAAACCGGUCGGCUUUGGUUCGAUUUUGAAUAAAAAUCCCUAGUCUCUCUCAAUUGGCGAGCUUCAGUACUUUCUUCUUCUACUUGUUGAGUGUUGAAAUGCGAUUUUAGCACCGGAAAAGCAAAACCCUGAAGGAUUUCACCGACAAUGGAACAACGGUAAGUUUCUUUGUUUCGUUUAUGUUUAGAGCAUUUGAAAUCCGAUAUAUAGCACUCUAAUUCUUUUAUUUGGUGGUCAAAAAAGUUGGAGAAAUCGAGGUUUUAUGAAUAAGGAUAGGAUGAAUCUGUUGCCCGAAGCUUUUCUAAACCCUAAUUAUUAAUCUUGUCUUCCUUUGGUUUUGUUGGUGAAAGUUUGAGAAUUAUGCGUAAAGACAGGAUCAGUGAGUUGCCUGAUGCUUUGCUUCUGAAGAUACUGUCUUUUCUUCCAACAAACAUUGUCGUAGCCACGAGUGUUUUGUCUAAACAAUGGCGGUCUCUUUGGAAGUUGGUCCCAAAUCUCGAGUUCGAUUCUGAGGAUUACGAAAGUGAACACUAUACAUUUUCCAAUUCUCACCAAAUCCAACAAACACAAUUCCAAUUUCAAUUCAAUAUUCAAACGGAGAAGAUCCAAUGUUCUUAAAACAAGGAAUCUCCAGAUUCAUCUUGUAAGAACCUCUUAGGGAUCUUCACAAAUUAGAGAGAAAUCUAACAAACUUCACAAUUUUUCAUGAUUGAAUCUAAACUUCUUCGCUUUCUUCUUUAAACGCAUCUUCUUCUCUUUCUUUUAUCGUGGCCGUUCAUUCUAUCUUCAUCUUCCACCGUCCACGUGUCUUAUUAAUAAUAUCCUUCAUAUUCCCUUACUAUUAAAAGGAAGUACAAAUUGAAAAAUAGUCUAAUUUGGCCUCAAUUUCAAUUUCGAUUUUGGAUUUUGUAGAGUAUUUAGCAAAAUUGAUAAGGGUAAAAUAGUCUAAAAUUUUCAUUAAUAAAACUUUAGGGUCCGCGUGUUUAUUAAACGGGUUUAAAUGAAUCAAAUAUAUCCAAAUCCUUAAACGAAUCACUAAUCGGGUUUUAACAUCUUCACAAAACAGAGAUGCAAUCCUAACCAUUCAACAUAUUUGGUAUCUAAUUUAAGGCAUAUUCGAUCGCAGUAUAAAAUAUAUUCUCCAAAUCUCGAUUAGUUACUAAAUAAUUUUCCAAAAAAAUAUUAUCUAAUCUAAUCCUAACCAUAAACUACUACUCAAUAUCUUAAUUUCCCCUAAAUUCGUGAAUCAUUAAUUUUGAUAUCAAUCAAGAAGAUAUUCAAGUUAAUAUAUCCUAUAUUUUUUGCUUCGGCUCCAUGAUUUUCGAAAAUUUAUGAGCCAAAAACCCUAUCAUUCUACUUCAUUAUAAAUAUCAAACGUCUCUAUCAUUUCUUACUAUCCAGCAAUUCAUAGCAAACGACUAAUACCUCUUUUUUUUCUGAGCCAAAAACCACCGCGGGUUGAAGCCUAUCUGCAACAAAUCUGGAUCGUCACCCUGCAAAGUUCACUUCUGAUCUGCAUCUCAAAUCAGGAUUCACCAACAGUUUGAAGGUUGUUUUGAAAAGUCACCUGCGGGACAUGAAGGAUGAGAGCGUGCGUAGUGAGACGCGAUGGCGUGUGGAUCCCAAUUGAGCUUGCCACAACUAACGACAAAUGAAUCUCGAAAGACGUAAGCCAAUCUGAAUUGAAGCUAUAAAUGCCAAAGAUGAACUGCGUCAAGACACGUGCGUAGCACCGUGACCACCGCCGCGAAUGCACCGUCCAUGUAAAGACACGCCGGUCCGGUGGUUUGGGCGAUAGAGAGCGCGUAAAAGAAGAGCAGAUCCACCGCUAAAGCCAUCCCUAGAGCUAGAAGCAACGCGCGGUUCCAUCUUUGCACACGCUUGUAAUUAUAGCAUUACCUUUAUACUCAGAAAUCGGGUUGAAACUAGAUUGGGGACGGAUCCUUCCUAGAUCGAAACUAAGGAAGAACCGGCGGUAGAUUUUCUUUUACUUUCUUUACUUUGUAUUUAUAAUGUAAUUUUAUUAGUUUAUAAUAUACAAAGAAUUCUUUCCAACU